AUUGGGCGUAGAGAGCUCGUGGGCGGUUUAGUAAGUCGGGUGUGAAAACUCAGGGCUUAACCCUGAGACGCCACUCGAUACUGCUAUGACUUGAGUACGGUAGGGGAGUGGGGAAUUCCUGGUGUAGCGGUGAAAUGCGCAGAUAUCAGGAGGAACACCAGUGGCGAAGGCGCCACUCUGGGCCGUAACUGACGCUGAGGAGCGAAAGCGUGGGUAGCAAACAGG
rnacentral:rRNA from 1 species